rnacentral:rRNA from 1 species
GACGAACGCUGGCGGCGUGCCUAAUACAUGCAAGUCGAACGCAGUGGGGACGGGUGAGUAACACGUGGGUAACCUCCCAUCAGAGGGGAUAACACUUGGAAACAGGUGCUAAACCGAUACUGAUGGAUGGACCCGCGGUGCAUUAGCUAGUUGGUGAGGUAACGGCUCACCAAGGCCACGAUGCAUAGCCGACCCGGGGGGGUGAGCGGCCAAACUUGGACUGAGACACGGCCCAGAAUCCUACGGGAGGCAGCAGUAGGGAAUCUUCGGCAAUUGACGAAAGUCUGACCGAGCAACGCCGCGUGGGGGAAGAAGGUUUUCGGGUCGUAAAACUCUGGUGUUAAGGAAGCGGUACUUAACCAGAAAGGGACGGCUAACUACGUGCCAGCAGCCGCGGUAAUAC